CUUCGGAGGUACUCGAGUGGCGAACGGGUGAGUAACACGUGGGUAAUCUGCCCUGCACUUCGGGAUAAGCCUGGGAAACUGGGUCUAAUACCGAAUACGACCAUUUAGCGCAUGCUUUAUGGUGGAAAGCUUUUGCGGUGUGGGAUGGGCCCGCGGCCUAUCAGCUUGUUGGUGGGGUGACGGCCUACCAAGGCGACGACGGGUAGCCGGCCUGAGAGGGUGUCCGGCCACACUGGGACUGAGAUACGGCCCAGACUCCUACGGGAGGCAGCAGUGGGGAAUAUUGCACAAUGGGCGCAAGCCUGAUGCAGCGACGCCGCGUGGGGGAUGAAGGCCUUCGGGUUGUAAACCUCUUUCAGCAGGGACGAAGCGCAAGUGACGGUACCUGCAGAAGAAGCACCGGCCAACUACGUGCCAGCAGCCGCGGUAAUACGUAGGGUGCGAGCGUUGUCCGGAAUUACUGGGCGUAAAGAGCUCGUAGGUGGUUUGUCGCGUUGUUCGUGAAAACCGGGGGCUUAACCCUCGGCGUGCGGGCGAUACGGGCAGACUGGAGUACUGCAGGGGAGACUGGAAUUCCUGGUGUAGCGGUGGAAUGCGCAGAUAUCAGGAGGAACACCGGUGGCGAAGGCGGGUCUCUGGGCAGUAACUGACGCUGAGGAGCGAAAGCGUGGGGAGCGAACAGGAUUAGAUACCCUGGUAGUCCACGCCGUAAACGGUGGGUACUAGGUGUGGGUUUCCUUCCUUGGAAUCCGUGCCGUAGCUAACGCAUUAAGUACCCCGCCUGGGGAGUACGGCCGCAAGGCUAAAACUCAAAGGAAUUGACGGGGGCCCGCACAAGCGGCGGAGCAUGUGGAUUAAUUCGAUGCAA
rnacentral:rRNA from 2 species